GUAUAAGAGACAGCAGUAGCCGCGGUAAUACAGAGGGUGCGAGCGUUAAUCGGAUUUACUGGGCGUAAAGCGUGCGUAGGCGGCUUUUUAAGUCGGAUGUGAAAUCCCUGAGCUUAACUUAGGAAUUGCAUUCGAUACUGGGAAGCUAGAGUAUGGGAGAGGAUGGUAGAAUUCCAGGUGUAGCGGUGAAAUGCGUAGAGAUCUGGAGGAAUACCGAUGGCGAAGGCAGCCAUCUGGCCUAAUACUGACGCUGAGGUACGAAAGCAUGGGGAGCAAACAGGAUUAGAUACCCGGGUAGUCCCUGUCUCUUAUAA
rnacentral:rRNA from 1 species